UACGAAGGGGGCUAGCGUUGCUCGGAAUCACUGGGCGUAAAGGGUGCGUAGGCGGGUUUUUAAGUCAGGGGUGAAAUCCUGGAGCUCAACUCCAGAACUGCCUUUGAUACUGAAGAUCUUGAGUCCGGGAGAGGUGAGUGGAACUGCGAGUGUAGAGGUGAAAUUCGUAGAUAUUCGCAAGAACACCAGUGGCGAAGGCGGCUCACUGGCCCGGUACUGACGCUGAGGCAC
rnacentral:rRNA from 1 species